rnacentral:tRNA from 1 species
GAUAGCUCAGUCGGUAGAAUGUGAGACUCUUAAUCUCAGGGCUGUGGGUUAGAGCCCCACAUUGGGCA